CGUCGAAGGUGGGGCUGAUGACUGGGGUGAAGUCGUAACAAGGUAGCCGUACCGGAAGGUGCGGCUGGAUCACCUCCUAACAGGGAGACAAACAACGAUUUUGAUGUCUGAGUAUUUUAUUCUUAGGCCAAAAUCCUGUCACCUUAGGUCGAUCGGUACCUCAACUUUGAAGCUAAGAGUUCCAGCAAUGGAUGACUGCUUAGUGGAGAUUUUUAGUUCCUAAACUUUGUCUAGUUCACAACCCAUUAGGGAUGAGACUCCUGGGCCAUUAGCUCAGGUGGUUAGAGCGCACCCCUGAUAAGGGUGAGGUCCCUGGUUCAAGUCCAGGAUGGCCCAUUCGGUGUAGGGGGUUUAGCUCAGUUGGUAGAGCGCCUGCUUUGCAAGCAGGAUGUCAGGAGUUCGAGUCUCCUAACCUCCACUGACUGCAAUGAAUCCCCAUCUCCAAAACCUGGAGUAUGAACUCGUAUGGAUUGUGAUUUAGAUGUGUCCGCUAGAUGAUCCUAGCUUCUUGUCAUUUUAAGGCAUGGAAAUGGUUCCAUGAUUUGAUUGAUAGGAUGCUGGGCUCGAUGCAAUGGAUUGAGAAAUCAAUGUAUUGUUUUGAUGUCUAGCCGAACCUUGACAACUGCAUAGUUUAAGUCUGGAAAGAAUAAAGCAUCUCAUAGAUGCAUCAUUCUUGAGUGUUGAUUCACUUUGGAGUGAUGUUAAUUCUAAGAGCAAGAGCCGAGACUC
rnacentral:misc_RNA from 1 species